UAAGCAUAUCAAUAAGCGGAGGAAAAGAAACCAACAGGGAUUGCCCCAGUAACGGCGAGUGAAGCGGCAAGAGCUCAAAUUUGAAAUCUGGCCUCCUCCGGGGGUCCGAGUUGUAAUUUGCAGAGGAUGCUUCGGGUGCGGCCCCCGUCUAAGUUCCUUGGAACAGGACGUCAGAGAGGGUGAGAAUCCCGUCUUGGGCGGGCGGCCCGCGCCCGUGUGAAGCUCCUUCGACGAGUCGAGUUGUUUGGGAAUGCAGCUCUAAGCGGGUGGUAAAUUUCAUCUAAAGCUAAAUAUUGGCCGGAGACCGAUAGCGCACAAGUAGAGUGAUCGAAAGGUUAAAAGCACCUUGAAAAGGGAGUUAAACAGCACGUGAAAUUGUUGAAAGGGAAGCGCUUGCGGCCAGACUCGGGGGCGGGGUUCAGCGGGCGCUCGUCGCCCGUGCACUCCCCGCGCCCCGGGCCAGCAUCAGUUUCGACGGUCGGUCAAAGGCCCCCGGAAUGUGUCGUCUCUAGGGACGUCUUAUAGCCGGGGGUGCAAUGCGGCCCGUCGGGACUGAGGAACGCGCUUCGGCUCGGAUGCUGGCGUAAUGGCCGUAAGCGGCCCGUCUUGAAACACGGACCAAGGAGUCUAACAUCCACGCGAGUGUUCGGGUGUCAAACCCGUGCGCGCAGUGAAAGCGAACGGAGGUGGGAGCCUUUGGGCGCACCAUCGACCGAUCCUGAAGUCUUCGGAUGGAUUUGAGUAGGAGCGUGGCCGUUGGGACCCGAAAGAUGGUGAACUAUGCCUGAAUAGGGUGAAGCCAGAGGAAACUCUGGUGGAGGCUCGCAGCGGUUCUGACGUGCAAAUCGAUCGUCAAAUUUGGGCAUAGGGGCGAAAGACUAAUCGAACCAUCUAGUAGCUGGUUCCUGCCGAAGU
rnacentral:rRNA from 1 species